GAAGGUGGCAAGCGUUGUUCGGAUUUACUGGGCGUACAGGGAGCGUAGGCGGUUGGGUAAGCCCUCCGUGAAAUCUCCGGGCCUAACCCGGAAAGGGCGGAGGGGACUGCUCGGCUAGAGGAUGGGAGAGGAGCGCGGAAUUCCCGGUGUAGCGGUGAAAUGCGUAGAGAUCGGGAGGAAGGCCGGUGGCGAAGGCGGCGCUCUGGAACAUUUCUGACGCUGAGGCUCGAAAGCGUGGGGAGCAAACAGGAUUAGAUACCCUGGUAGUCCACGCCUUAAACGAUGGAUACUAAGUGUCGGCGGGUUACCGCCGGUGCCGCAGCUAACGCAGUAAGUAUCCCGCCUGGGAAGUACGGCCGCAAGGUUG
rnacentral:rRNA from 1 species